rnacentral:rRNA from 1 species
GUUAUUCGAGCGGCCGAUAUCUGAUUAGCUAGUUGGUGGGGUAAAGGCCUACCAAGGCGACGAUCUCUAGCGGGUCUGAGAGGAUGAUCCGCCACACUGGGACUGAGACACGGCCCAGACUCCUACGGGAGGCAGCAGUGGGGAAUUUUGGACAAUGGGCGCAAGCCUGAUCCAGCCAUGCCGCGUGUCUGAAGAAGGCCUUCGGGUUGUAAAGGACUUUUGUCAGGGAAGAAAAGGCUGUUGCUAAUACCGACAGCUGAUGACGGUACCUGAAGAAUAAGCACCGGCUAACUACGUGCCAGCAGCCGCGGUAAUACGUAGGGUGCGAGCGUUAAUCGGAAUUACUGGGCGUAAAGCGAGCGCAGACGGUUACUUAAGCAGGAUGUGAAAUCCCCGGGCUCAACCUGGGAACUGCGUUCUGAACUGGGUGACUAGAGUGUGUCAGAGGGAGGUAGAAUUCCACGUGUAGCAGUGAAAUGCGUAGAGAUGUGGAGGAAUACCGAUGGCGAAGGCAGCCUCCUGGGAUAACACUGACGUUCAUGCUCGAAAGCGUGGGUAGCAAACAGGAUUAGAUACCCUGGUAGUCCACGCCCUAAACGAUGUCAAUUAGCUGUUGGACAACUUGAUUGCUUA